GUGACCGUCAUUCCACGGGAUCCGCUUCCUGGUCUGCGCGAAUCUGCGCGCGCAGGACAGAAACCAGGCCUGGGUGGAGCCAACGAGGAGCUAUCCUUAGGCGGUCCCGGUGGCUCACUCCUGCAAUACUAGCAAUUUGAAAGGCUGUACCAGGGGGAUCACCUGAGGACAUGGCAGGAAGAUGGCUGGGCUAAACCAUGAAGAAGCCUCUCACCAGGAAUCAAUUUGGCUGGCACCUUGCUCUUGGAUUUCCCACUUUCCAAAUUCAUGAGAAAUAAAUUUCUGUGUCUUAAG